rnacentral:misc_RNA from 1 species
AACGCACCUUGCGCUCCUUGGUAUUCCGAGGAGCAUGCCUGUUUGAGUGUCAUCGAAUUCUCAACCACAACUUGAUUGAUGUGGCUUGGACGUUGGGAGCUUGCUGGCAUCGAAGAGAUAGUCAGCUCUCCUGAAAUGCAUUAGCGAAAAGGGUCGGCAAGUCUGGACAAAUGCAUAUGGCCUUUCGACGUGAUAAUGAUCGUCGUGGUCAAAGUUGUCUGAUUUGAAUUUGUUGGAUCCCUCCUAUUUGCUUCCAAUUGAAUGUCAAUCUUCUUGACUUGACCUCAAAUCAGGUAGGACUACCCGCUGAACUUAA